rnacentral:rRNA from 1 species
UACGUAGGGGGCAAGCGUUGUCCGGAAUCAUUGGGCGUAAAGCGCGUGUAGGCGGCCCGGUAAGUCCGCUGUGAAAGCCCAGGGCUCAACCCUGGAAUGCCGGUGGAUACUGUCGGGCUCGAGUCCGGAAGAGGCGAGUGGAAUUCCUGGUGUAGCGGUGAAAUGCGCAGAUAUCAGGAGGAACACCAAUGGCGAAGGCAGCUCGCUGGGACGGUACUGACGCUGAGACGCGAAAGCGUGGGGAGCAAACAGG